AAAAUAAUCCUACCCUUUGUGAAUUUGUUUGUUUGAAUAAUUUUUUUUUUAAAAAUUAUUGGAGUCUUUCCCUUAGAGUUUGCUUUUGAGUUGUAAAAGAAUUCGAAAACAUCUAAAGGGGAUGGUCAAUAAUUUUUUUUGAAAAAGACAUUUUUUAAAAUUAAACUUUUUGUAUUCAUUUGUCUAAAAAUUAUUUUAUAAUAUAAAAACAACUUUUAACAAUGGAUCUCUUGGUUCUCGCAACGAUGAAGAACGCAGCAAAAUGCGAUAAGUAGUGUGAAUUGCAGAAUACGUGAAUCAUCGAAUCUUUGAACGCAUAUUGCACUUUUUUAGUUUACUAAAAAAGUAUGUCUGUUUGAGUAUCAGUAAAAUAUUCUCAUAAAAUCAUUGUAUUUUUAUGGUUAUGAGUGUUUUACAACGAUACAAGUUGUUUCACUUUAAAUUUUUUUUAAUAUUGAAAUUUUUCUAAUUUUAAUAAUUAAAAUUGGAUAAAUUUUCCCGUCAAAAGGAAUAACCUAAACAAUUUUAAAGAUUAAUUUUAGCAAAAUUUUCGAAAAAGGAAAAUUUUUAUUAAAAUAACUUGAUCUCAAAUCAGAUAAGAGUACCCGCUGAACUUAAGCAUAUCAAUAAGCGGAGGAAAAGAAACUAACAAGGAUUCCUUAGUAACGGCGAGUGAAGGGAAGAGCUCAAAUUUGAAUCUUCAAGGUUUUACCUUGACGAAUUGUAGUUUAAAGAAGUGUUUUCUGCUGAAGUUUUGGUAAAAGUUCUUUGGAAUAGGACAUCAUAGAGGGUGAGAAUCCCGUAUUUGACCAUUAUUUCAGCUUUGUGAUACACUUUCAAAGAGUCGGAUUGUUUGGGAAUGCAGUCCAAAAUGGGUGGUAAAUUUCAUCUAAAGCUAAAUAUUGGCGAGAGACGAUAGCGAACAAGUACCGUGAGGGAAAGAUGAAAAGAACUUUGAAAAGAGAGUUAAACAGUACGUGAAAUUGUCAAAAGGGAAGCGUUUGACACCAGUGUUGUUUUCUCGAAAAUCAAUUAAAAAUGGCUCGAUUUUGUAUUGCUGAGACCUUAAAAGCUCACUGUACAUUUUUCGUGUCUUUUUUAAUGCACUUUUCGUUUAACAAGUCAACAUCAGUUUCUUUUGUUGUAAAAGGGUCAUUGGAAGGUGGCUUUCUUUUCGGAGAAAGUGUUUAUAGCCUUUGGCCUCUGCAAUCGAGAGACUGAGGUUGCAGCGUAGACUCUUCGGGUUAGAUACAUUUGUGCUAAGUUAUAGCUUUUAUAGACAACUUGUUGACUAUAAUUAGUCUUGUAGCUUACUCGCUUAUGUAUUU
rnacentral:misc_RNA from 1 species